rnacentral:rRNA from 1 species
AUGAGGCGAACCGGGGGAACUGAAACAUCUAAGUACCCCGAGGAAAAGAAAUCAACCGAGAUUCCCCCAGUAGCGGCGAGCGAACGGGGAGCAGCCCAGAGCCUGAAUCAGUAUGUGUGUUAGUGGAAGCGUCUGGAAAGGCGCGCGAUACAGGGUGACAGCCCCGUACACAAAAAUGCACAUGCUGUGAGCUCGAUGAGUAGGGCGGGACACGUGGUAUCCUGUCUGAAUAUGGGGGGACCAUCCUCCAAGGCUAAAUACUCCUGACUGACCGAUAGUGAACCAGUACCGUGAGGGAAAGGCGAAAAGAACCCCGGCGAGGGGAGUGAAAAAGAACCUGAAACCGUGUACGUACAAGCAGUGGGAGCACGCUUAGGCGUGUGACUGCGUACCUUUUGUAUAAUGGGUCAGCGACUUAUAUUCUGUAGCAAGGUUAACCGAAUAGGGGAGCCGAAGGGAAACCGAGUCUUAACUGGGCGUUAAGUUGCAGGGUAUAGACCCGAAACCCGGUGAUCUAGCCAUGGGCAGGUUGAAGGUUGGGUAACACUAACUGGAGGACCGAACCGACUAAUGUUGAAAAAUUAGCGGAUGACUUGUGGCUGGGGGUGAAAGGCCAAUCAAACCGGGAGAUAGCUGGUUCUCCCCGAAAGCUAUUUAGGUAGCGCCUCGUGAAUUCAUCUCCGGGGGUAGAGCACUGUUUCGGCAAGGGGGUCAUCCCGACUUACCAACCCGAUGCAAACUGCGAAUACCGGAGAAUGUUAUCACGGGAGACACACGGCGGGUGCUAACGUCCGUCGUGAAGAGGGAAACAACCCAGACCGCCAGCUAAGGUCCCAAAGUCAUGGUUAAGUGGGAAACGAUGUGGGAAGGCCCAGACAGCCAGGAUGUUGGCUUAGAAGCAGCCAUCAUUUAAAGAAAGCGUAAUAGCUCACUGGUCGAGUCGGCCUGCGCGGAAGAUGUAACGGGGCUAAACCAUGCAC